UGCCAGCAGCCGCGGUAAUACGGAGGGUGCAAGCGUUAAUCGGAAUUACUGGGCGUAAAGCGUGUGUAGGCGGUCUGCUAAGUCGGAUGUGAAAGCCCUGGGCUCAACCUGGGAAUGGCAUUCGAUACUGCAGAGCUAGAGUAUGGUAGAGGGAAGUGGAAUUUCCGGUGUAGCGGUGAAAUGCGUAGAUAUCGGAAGGAACACCGGCGGCGAAGGCGACUUCCUGGGCCAAUACUGACGCUGAGGUGCGAAAGCGUGGGUAGCAAACAGGAUUAGAUA
rnacentral:rRNA from 1 species